UAGACUCGUGGACAAAGACAAAGAAAGCCGGGGAAUAGGUGUAGGCGUUGAGGGGGUGUGGGGGAGGGAAGGGUGGUUUGGGUCGCGGUACGGUUACGGCGACGGGCGGCACCCGUGCCCGGGGCGCAGCCGCUAUCGAGGCCAGUGGCGGCGCCGCGGGGAAUCUAUAGCAGGGUAUGCUGAGGCGCGUAGAGGCAGCUGCCAAAGGAGGGGAAGUUGGAGACGCUAGAGGUCGGGCGGCGGGGGCGGCAGACGCUCCGUAAGGGCGUUUGUGGACCGCCCGUCUCCGGUGCGGGGCCGCUCCGGGAGGUUCCUGGCACAGAAGAAGGAGCUGCAGUUGGGCUAUACGAAGGCGCCGAGGGUCGCAUCGGAGCCGCGGAAGCGCGCGACCGAGCGCGAGAAGAAGUGCGUGCAGUCGGAGGCCCUGGGGCAACACCGGCAGAAGCUGCCCCGUCCACCCUUGCUCAUGGCCUCCGCCGACGACGGCAGGAUGUUUCGCGUGGCCUGAGCGCCGCAUCCGUGGCCACGGCUAAGGGCGCACCAACUGCACGAGACGCUCACGUUACAAGGCUAACACGUUCAGCUACCUAUGCUCCGUCUACUACAUCACCGAUGGAACUGUUUCGUUCAUAAUGUCUUUCCAAUAUCUCAACAGUAACGGAGCGGACUGUUCCUGAAGUUCGUCAACUAUAGACUUCUACAAGUCAAUCAAUACGGGUAAGGACUCUAACCGGCUACCAGGAAAAUAUGCGACUCCGUAAUACAACGUGUUAUGUUCACACUAGGUUGACAUCUAAACUCGGAGUCUACGAAAUACCCACUACUUCGUCUACCACAAGGCCCUUAGGUCGUAGACCGAGGACCAAAACCAGCGUUCUGACGCCACUUUGAUGACUUGUUUGUACCAAGUAAUCUUUUGGAUGAAUUAUGUCGACGUCAAUCUUGACAUCCGUUCCUCAUACGGGUCCUACAAAAUCAGUUCGUACGUCUAAUGAACGCUUUUUUGAUACUUUAAGAGUCAAACUCCUCCCUACAUUUACAAGUCGAACUACUGUCUACCAAUAGGUGUUCCCUGUGAACAUUACUGUGGUCACACAAUAGACUGAAGUAGUGAUUUAAGUUGAUUCCUGUCUUCGAUUUAUCGCCCACUACGGCCGAUGUUCUGCGUCUCCGCACCAGGUCCUCGUCACAUCAUGAUGAUGCACGUCGCAGUGUCACUGCCUCGCUGGGUACCAGAGCGGGCUUCUGUCCGUGGCCUGUACGAUAGAGUCGAUAAAACAGUGCGAUCAUAUCGUAUAGAAUUCCCUCGGUUGUGUCUAACGUCUAGACUAGAGUACAUUACGCUAGGAGCCUACGAUAGUGAGCGACGACGAUUAACCUAUGACACGACCAGAGCCAAGCACCCCGCGACCGGUUUAGAUCGCGCCGAAACAACACCGUAACCUACUAUUUAGACACGAGACCAAACAAAAAU
rnacentral:rRNA from 1 species